rnacentral:lncRNA from 1 species
GAGCGCGAGCGGAGGCGAUGGCCCGGGUCCGGGCCUAGCCCGGUGCUCCGAGAGCAGGCUGGACUGACGGCCGUUCCCCACUCGGCUGGGCGCAGAGCGGCCUUACCUGGGGCGAAGGUGGAAGGCAAGGUCUCGCGGGCUUGCCCGCCGCACAGCCGCCCGCGGCCCCCGGCUUUCUCCCGAGACGCGACACCGCCUCCGCCGCCGCUUCGCCCUCGGGGGCUCGGCCACCGCCGCCGCCCGAGCUGUUUACACCGUCCGGCCCCUCACGCCGCCGCCGCCGCCUUCUCUCCAACCCAGCGCCGCUGCCGACUCGGCCGCCGCCACCUCCUCCGCCGCAGCCUGAUCUCUCUGGAGCAUCUUCCAGCCACCGGACACAGAGAAACAGAGACUCCAGCCGCGCCGGCAGGAAACUCCCCCGCAACUGCCAGGGGGGACCAGGCGGUCAGAGUACCAGCGGCUUUUCCGCCAUUGAGCAGCGGCCG